GCGCGGAGCAGGGGCUCGAGCGACCCGCCCCACCCCCGCUGCCUCCUCACGUCCGGCGCCAUCUUGUGCCGGGAGAGCAGCGCGACCCGCCCGGAAACGAGGGGGGCGGGGGGGAGGAAGGGAAGAGGAGAGUGAUACAUCCCUGGGAGUGUCGAAAGCCAAGCUGGACAGGGCUUUGAGCAACCUGAUCUAGUGGAAGAUGUCCCUGCAUAUGGCAGAGGGAGGAACGAGAUGGGCUGUCUGUGUAUUAAGAAACUGCAAAAAAGCAAUAAAAAGCCUUUGACUAUUUUCUGAGAAUGCUACUGUCACAAGAAAAGUUUAUCCUAUUCAAUGGAAGUUCCAAGCCUAUAAAAUUGAUGUCUACCAUUCUUUCUUCAGAAAAAAACUAAUUAAACCCCUCAUUCAUCACUUGCGUGAA